ACGAACGCUGGCGGCUGCUUAACACAUGCAAGUCGAACGGAGUGGCGAACGGGUGAGUAACGCGUGAGCAACCUGCCUAUGACAGUGGGAUAGCCUCGGGAAACCGGGAUUAAUACCGCAUAUUCAUAGAUGGUCUCGCGUCUGAUUAGCUAGUUGGUGAGAUAACAGCUCACCCAGGCGACGAUCAGUAGCCGGUCGUGUAGGAUGAACAGCCACAGUGGGACUGCGACACGUUCCAAACUCCUACGGGAGGCAGCAGUGUGGAAGAUUGAACAAUGGGGGAAACCCUGAUGCAGCGACGCCGCGUGAACGAAGAAGGUAUUCGUAUCGUAAAGUUCUGUCCUAUGGGAAGGGGAACCAAAGAAGAAAGCACCGGCUAAAUACGUGCCAGCAGCCGCGUAAUAG
rnacentral:rRNA from 1 species